GUCCACGCUGUAAACGAUGCUUGUUAGUUGGUGGUAAAAUCACUAACGCAGCUAACGCAUUAAACAAGCCGCCUGAGUAGUAUGCUCGCAAGAGUGAAACUUAAAGGAAUUGACGGGGACCCCGCACAAGCGGUGGACCAUGUGGUUUAAUUCGAAGUCACGCGAAGAACCUUACCCACUCUUGACAUCCUCGGCAAAGCUAUAGAGAUAUAGUGGAGGUUAACCGAGUGACAGGUGGUGCAUGGUCGUCGU
rnacentral:rRNA from 1 species